UUGCUCCCUUCAGCAGCAAAUAUACUAAAAUUGGAACUUUACAGAGAAGAUUAGCAAGGCCCCUACACAAGGACGAUACAAAAAUUCGAAGUGUUCCAUAUUCUU